AUACGGAGGGUGCAAGCGUUGUUCGGAAUCACUGGGCGUAAAGGGCGCGCAGGCGGUUUUACAAGUCAGAUGUGAAAGCCCACGGCUCAACCGUGGAAGUGCAUUUGAAACUGUAAGACUUGAGUAUCAGAGGGGAAGGUGGAAUUCCCGGUGUAGAGGUGAAAUUCGUAGAUAUCGGGAGGAAUACCGGUGGCGAAGGCGACUUUCUGGCUGAAUACUGACGCUGAGGCGCGAAAGCGUGGGGAGCAAACAGGAUUAGAUACCCCAGUAGUCC
rnacentral:rRNA from 1 species